AGAGUUUGAUCAUGGCUCAGGAUGAACGCUGGCGGUCUGCUUAACACAUGCAAGUCGAACGAACUCUUCGGAGUGAGUGGCGGACGGGUGAGUAACGCGUGAGAAUCUACCUGUGGGUCGGGGACAACCACUGGAAACGGUGGCUAAUACCGGAUGAGCCGAAAGGUAAAAGAUUUAUUGCCCACAGAUGAGCUCGCGUCUGAUUAGCUAGUUGGUAAGGUAAAAGCGUACCAAGGCGACGAUCAGUAGCUGGUCUGAGAGGAUGAGCAGCCACACUGGGACUGAGACACGGCCCAGACUCCUACGGGAGGCAGCAGUGGGGAAUUUUCCGCAAUGGGCGAAAGCCUGACGGAGCAAGACCGCGUGGGGGAGGAAGGUUUUUGGAUCGUAAACCCCUUUUGUCAAGGAAGAAGCUCUGACGGUACUUGACGAAUAAGCCUCGGCUAACUCCGUGCCAGCAGCCGCGGUAAUACGGAGGAGGCAAGCGUUAUCCGGAAUGAUUGGGCGUAAAGCGUCUGUAGGUGGCCAGCUAAGUCUGCUGUUAAAGAUCACAGCUCAACUGUGGGAAGGCAGUGGAAACUGGCAAGCUAGAG
rnacentral:rRNA from 1 species